UUCGGACCUAGGUGGCCUGGGCUGUGGCCUGAAGAACAGGUCCUCAGAGGGCCCCAGCUCCCCUUCCGGGAAGCUCAUGAGCCCCAAGCUGUAUGUGUGGGCCAAAGACCGCCCUAAGAUCUGGGAGGGAGAGCCUCCAUGUGGCCCACCAAGGGACAGCCUGAACCAGAGCCUCAGCCAGGACCUCACCAUGGCCCCUGGCUCCACACUCUGGCUGUCCUGUGGGGUACCCCCUGACUCUGUGUCCAGGGGCCCCCUCUCCUGGACCCAUGUGCACCCCGAGGGGCGUAAGUCCUCAUUGCUGAGCCUAGAGCUGAAGGACGAUCGCCCGGCCAGAGAUAUGUGGGUAAUGGAGACGGGUCUGUUGUUGCCCCGGGCCACAGCUCAAGACGCUGGAAAGUAUUAUUGUCACCGUGGCAACCUGACCAUGUCAUUCUACCUGGAGAUCACUGCUCGGCCAGGUAGAGUUUCUCUCAACUGGGAGGCAUCUGUGUGGGGGUACUGGGAAGAAGUGGAAGCCAGUCAAUCUUAGAUUCCCCCAACCUGAGGGCUACUCCCAGCCUCACCCCAAACCCCAACUUCCACACAGAACA
rnacentral:sRNA from 1 species